rnacentral:snRNA from 1 species
GGAUGUGAUGGCGAAUCUGGCUGCGACAUCUGUCACCCCAUUGAUCCCCAGGGUCGAUUCGGCUGACCUGGCUGGCUAGGCGGGUGUCCCCUUCCUCCCUCACCGCUCCAUGUGCGUCCCUCCCAAAGCCAUGCACUCGGUCAAAGAGGACAGCCUUCCUUGAAUAGAGAUGGACCAGUCUUCGGUCAAGGGUAUACGAGUAGCUGUGCUCCCCUUCUAGAACCUCCAAACAAGCUCUCAAAACCCCAAAGUGCCAAACUGAAAUAAGUAAAAUCAGUUACCAGAGCGGGGGCUAUGAGGGGGGAUACUCAAACCACUGGAGUACAUGCUCUGCAUGCUGAAGGCGCAGGUUC